rnacentral:tRNA from 1 species
GAUUAAAUUUUUGUUUAGGCUUCUAACCUGAAAAUAUGGAAUUUCCAUUUUAAUCU